CCUGGGAACUUCCAUAUGCUGUGGGCGCAGCCCUAGGAAAAAAAAAAAGAAAGACGUAUACCACUCUCUUCUAGUCUGCAAGGUUUUGUAGAAAAAUCAGCCAAUAGCAUUUUGUAGCUAUCCCUUAUAUAUGACUCUUUGUUUUAAAAUUCUCUCUUUAUCUUUUAACAUUUUAAUUAUGACAUAUCUCAGUGUUAUAUAUUUGGGUUUAUCUUGCUUGGGUUACUCUGUGUUUCCUCUACCUGUUUCUUUCUCAGAUAUGAGAGGUUCUCAGCCACAGAUUCAUCAAACACAUUUUCUACCCCCUUCUCUAUUCUCCUUUUAGGACCCUUAUAAUGCUACUUUUGGGACUCUCAAUGUUUUCCCAGUGUUCCCUUAAACUCUCAUUAAUUUUUGAAAUUAUCUUUUUCCUAUUAUGAUUGUGUGAUUUCCAUUAUACUGUCUUUUAGAUCACUAGUUAUUUUUAAUAUAUUCUAGUUCCUUAUGAAAAUUCUCAUUGUGUCUAUCUACUCUUUUCCUUAAUUCAAUUAGCAUUCUUAAUCUAAUGCUUUAAGUUUUUUAUCAGGUAAAUUGUUUAUCUCUGUUUUAUAAUUUUUUCAGGGGUUUUCUUUUUCCUUUCAAUUGAGAUUACUUCCUCUAUCUUUUGGUGUUCUUUAACUUUUUUUUAAAACUUUGAAUUUAAAACGGUCGCCUAUUGUAGUCUUGAAGUGGUAUCCUUAUGUUGGAACAUCUCUAUACAGACUGUGUGCCAAAUGCCUUUCAUGGGAGAGCUGGAUUUGAGGUGGAAGCAAUUCAUUCCUUUCCUCAAGGUGUGAAAGUGGAUAUCAUAUUGGUAGGAGGUGGGGCUGGAGAUGGAGGGGCUAGAGCUGACAUUGGGUGUGAUCUGGGGCUUCUCUUCCACUCAACAGCCAUUACCACCUUAUCAGAGAUGGGAUCUGGUCCCAACAUGCUGGAGCAGAAUCACAGAAGACUGAAUCCAAGUUGGCUCCAUCGCUUUUAAGUGUGUGCUUUCCCACUUCCAAGCCAUGAGCAAUCUCACCCCAGAGGAAAGUUGUUCCUGAAGCAAAAAGAGUUGGUGCAGGCACUUGUCAUGAUCAGAGGCAAGCAAGCAUGUGCAGACUCCUCACAAGCAGAAUCCAAGCUUCCACAGCCCUCCAGGUAGUCUUAUAAGGACCUCCAACCAGCAAGGGUAAUUGUCUUCUCUGGUGUAUGAACUGAGAGCUAGGGCUACCCAAACUACUUUCUCUCCAGGUGAAUCUCUGCCUGUGUAAAUCCCCUCCUCUUCUGAGUCUCCUCCCAGGGGCAGAGGUCCCAAUCUGAUUGUUUCUCUUCCCUUCCUACUUGAUUCCAUGUGGGUAUUUCUUACAGUCUGAUUUUACAGGAGUCUGUCAGUCUCCAGUUAGUUUUCCAUGAGAAUUUUUCCACAUCUAGAUGUAUUUUUGAUGUGUUUGUGUGGAGAGUUGAGUACCACAUUCUUCUGUUCUGCCAUUUUGGUCUCCUCCCUUUCUCUUUACUUUUUCUUUUCCAGCUGGAGUUUUCUCCCUCCAUUCCUUACACAUUAAAGCUCUAAGUAUCCUCUUAAUGCUCAAAACUAACUAAUUCUAUUAAGGAAUCUGGUCCAUACAGCCAUAAAUAACCUCCUCUUUUCAUGAACAGGCCUAACUCAUACUGAAUAUACCAUUCUUUGGGUACUGACAUCAUUCUGAACUGCAUUGUAAUUUUUCAUUAUUUUUUGUCUGCUUAUACAUUUCUCGUCAACCAAAUUGCACUCUUUAACAGAGUCCUUCCAAAUUAUUAUAUUAUUCCCUUUCUCUUUAUUCAAUAUCCCAACUCUUAUCAUGUCACAUACACCCAGUAAUCUAUACACAGUACCAAAGUGCUACUAACUUAUCCAGAGAUACAAUUUUUUUAUAUAGUCACUGGUAUUGAUAAGAAUGGGUACCAUUCAGCCAGCACACUUCACUGACAUAAAAUGUAACUAUUUAAAUUUUUAUUUUUCCUGGUCUUUUUGACUCUUCCUCUCAGGAAUGAUACUAGAAUAGAAUAAUGCUUUAAAGCUAAUUUCUCCUUUCUUUCUCACCUGAUUCAAAGUUCUGGAAAUCUAAAUAUUCUUAAACAGUCCUUAAAUAUUCUAUAAAAUUACAUUAAAUAUUAUAUCCUGUACUUCAAAAUACCCAAUUAACUUUCUGCUUUUCAUCUCCCAAUAUAAUAGUAUUCUACAAGCAGGAUCUUUAUAUGUUAAGUAAGCAAUAUGCGAAUGUGAGGCAGUUAUUCCUUAUUUUACCUGUGUAAUAUUUAGUUUGUCUCAUGAAAACAGGCAUAAGGAGUCUGAAUAUUUCAAUCUAAUCAGUUUGUAUGGUCAGACAAUUUCCUCAGGUAUGUAAAAUUUAUUUCCUUGGGUGACAUUUAAUUGCUUCGAAACUAUGGUAUUCAUUUAUAUCUAGUUAUCUGUAUAUCUAUAAGAGAUUGUUUCCACUGCUGAAAAAGUCUUUAUUUUAAAUUCAUAGUAUUUUUAUUAAAAUAAUCAUUUUUUACAGUAUAAUACAAUUAUCCUUUUUUUGGAUUUUGGAUAUGCUUUACUCAGAAGUUUGUUUUUAGAUGUAUUUAUGAUAGAAAUUAUAAUUUUUAAACUAUUAAGCUGUUGAACGUAUCCAAAUCUUUUACGUAAGGAGUUUCUUUUAGCAUGUCAAACCUACCUCAAAAUAACAAUAGUUUUCUCUAAUUUCACUUGACAAUUUUCUUAAUGGGAUAAAAGUAAUUUACAUGUAUGUGUUCUUACACUUAACCUAUUAAUUCCCUUUAUUGACUGUGUAUUAUCUACAAAAGCAUUUUUAUGCUUUAGAUUUCUUUAACCUUUUUUGCUUCAUUGUUAGUGUGUGCAGAAAAAAAUGCACACAUAUAAACUGGAAUAUAUUCACCAAGUUCCUACACAGAUAUCUCUUUUAAAAAUAAAUCUCAGGAAAAUCUAAGGAGAAUGUUAACAUAUUUAUGAAAAAUAUAGGUCAUUCUUAUCUUUUUCAUCUUUAGAUAAUCUUUUUGUAUACAAAUCAUAUGACAAUUGGAAGGAAAGUUUCAUUCUAUACAUUUUCUUGAUAAAUGUAUACAAACUGUCUCAUUGCCCUUUUUUCAAUAGAAAAUAUAAUUAUGUUUAGAAUUUUUCAAUUCUAUUUUUUCUAAGAAAGUUUACACAUAAGAUAUUAGGCAGUGAUUGACUUUUUUUAAAUCUUCUUCUGUGUGAUGUAGUGGGAUAAUUUAUAAACUCUUGGGAAAUAGUAGAACUAAAAUACUUGAAUAUUUGAAAUAGUGUGAAAAUAUCUCUGGCAGUUAUUUCAGUUCUAUGACAACAAAACUUUAAUUUGUUGUCAUAGCACUUAUUUUAUUUUGCUUUUAUGGAUUCCAUUGUAACCUGAUGAACGAUAAUUAUUAAAGUUGCCCUAUUUUUAAUAUCACCGUAUUGGAAUUCAGUUGAGAAGUAAGUUGUAAAGUAAAAAACUUACAUAAUAGAAGUAUCUCUCUAUCCAAGCUCAGAAAAAUGGAAACAUAACAAUAAUAACAAAAAAUACGGACUUCCAGACAACAGCAUCCUAAAU